rnacentral:rRNA from 1 species
ACGCUCGACACCUACGGGAGACAGCAGUAGGGAAUCUUCCACAAUGGACGCAAGUCUGAUGGAGCAACGCCGCGUGAGUGAAGAAGGUCUUCGGAUCGUAAAACUCUGUUGUUAGAGAAGAACACGAGUGAGAGUAACUGUUCAUUCGAUGACGGUAUCUAACCAGCAAGUCACGGCUAACUACGUGCCAGCAGCCGCGGUAAUCUGAGCGGGCUGGCAAGGC